rnacentral:rRNA from 1 species
CAAUAGCGUAUAUUUAAGUUGUUGCAGUUAAAAAGCUCGUAGUUGGAUUUCGGGUGGGACGCAGCGGUCUCGCAUUGCGUUUGUACUGCUGCAGCCCUCCUUCUUGCCGGGGGCGGCCUCUCGGACUUCACUGUCUGGGGGUCAGAAUCGGCGAUAUUACUUUGAGUAAAUUAGAGUGUUCAAAGCAAGCUUACGCUCUGAAUAUAAUAGCAUGGGAUAACACGACAGGACUCUGGCCUAUCGUGUUGGUCUAUAGGACCAGAGUAAUGAUUAAGAGGGACAGUCGGGGGCAUUCGUAUUCCGUUGUCAGAGGUGAAAUUCUUGGAUUUACGGAAGACGAACAUCUGCGAAAGCAUUUGCCAAGGAUGUUUUCAUUGA